rnacentral:rRNA from 1 species
CUGCAGUCGACGGUAACGGCCGCAAGGUGCUGACGAGUGGCGAACGGGUGAGUAAUGCAUCGGAACGUGCCCAGUCGUGGGGGAUAACGCAGCGAAAGCUGUGCUAAUACCGCAUACGAUCUAUGGAUGAAAGCGGGGGACCGUAAGGCCUCGCGCGAUUGGAGCGGCCGAUGUCAGAUUAGGUAGUUGGUGGGGUAAAGGCUCACCAAGCCAACGAUCUGUAGCUGGUCUGAGAGGACGACCAGCCACACUGGGACUGAGACACGGCCCAGACUCCUACGGGAGGCAGCAGUGGGGAAUUUUGGACAAUGGGCGCAAGCCUGAUCCAGCAAUGCCGCGUGCAGGAAGAAGGCCUUCGGGUUGUAAACUGCUUUUGUACGGAACGAAACGGUUCGGGUUAAUACCCUGGGCUAAUGACGGUACCGUAAGAAUAAGCACCGGCUAACUACGUGCCAGCAGCCGCGGUAAUACGUAGGGUGCGAGCGUUAAUCGGAAUUACUGGGCGUAAAGCGUGCGCAGGCGGUUUUGUAAGACAGGCGUGAAAUCCCCGGGCUCAACCUGGGAAUUGCGCUUGUGACUGCAAAGCUGGAGUGCGGCAGAGGGGGAUGGAAUUCCGCGUGUAGCAGUGAAAUGCGUAGAUAUGCGGAGGAACACCGAUGGCGAAGGCAAUCCCCUGGGCCUGCACUGACGCUCAUGC